GUUUGGCGGGUCGCAUGGUGCUGCUUUGAAGCCAAAUUUAACUGUGGCUAGGAAGCCUGCAAAGCCCCUUAUUAGUACGUCCCCCAGUGCCACCACAAACGUCGACACUGCAACACCAACAUCAGGGAGGACAUCAUCCCCUGCCCAGAGUCCCGGAAAACAUAUUAGGACCAGCUCCCCGUUCUCUCUUCCCCCCUCUCCUCUUUCAUCAGCCUCAAUAAUCCCCCCAGCCACUGCUAAAGCUCCCCUUAUUAGCACAUCGACCAGUACCACCACAAACUUUGGCACUGCAACACCAACAUCAGGGAGGACAUCAUCCCCUGCCCAGAGUCCCAGAAAAUAUAUUAGGACCA